CCUUGUAUUACGUUAUUCUGACAAUGGAAAGAUAAGCUUUUGCAUACGUCUGGAAAAGAAUAUCCUUAAAAUCGGAAUGGGCAAGACAUCCUGAAAUUUAGCAUUGUCUUACAUCCUAUAGAAGAAAUACCUUAGUCUGUCACAGUCAGCAAUAAUGUCGUACAUUGACUUUAAGUAUUCAAUAUCCCUUCAGUCAGCAAUAAUCAUGUUAUAAACCUUAUAAAAGCAUAAAAUACAUAUAAACAAGUUAACUAUUUAAUAUUCUUACACUCUCC